rnacentral:rRNA from 1 species
AGAGUUUGGAUCCUGGCUCAGAGUGAACGCUGGCGGUAGGCCUAACACAUGCAAGUCGAACGGCAGCACAGGAGAGCUUGCUCUCUGGGUGGCGAGUGGCGGACGGGUGAGGAAUACAUCGGAAUCUACCUUUUCGUGGGGGAUAACGUAGGGAAACUUACGCUAAUACCGCAUAAGACCUUCGGGUGAAAGCCGGGGACCUUCGGGCCUGGCGCGGAUAGAUGAGCCGAUGUCGGAUUAGCUUGUUGGCGGGGUAAAAGCCCACCAAGGCGACGAUCCGUAGCUGGUCUGAGAGGAUGAUCAGCCACACUGGAACUGAGACACGGUCCAGACUCCUACGGGAGGCAGCAGUGGGGAAUAUUGGACAAUGGGCGCAAGCCUGAUCCAGCCAUACCGCGUGGGUGAAGAAGGCCUUCGGGUUGUAAAGCCCUUUUGUUGGGAAAGAAAUCCUGCCGAUUAAUACUCAGUAGGGAUGACGGUACCCAAAGAAUAAGCACCGGCUAACUUCGUGCCAGCAGCCGCGGUAAUACGAAGGGUGCAAGCGUUACUCGGAAUUACUGGGCGUAAAGCGUGCGUAGGUGGUUGUUUAAGUCUGCUGUGAAAAGCCCUGGGCUCAACCUGGGAAUUGCAGUGGAUACUGGGCGACUAGAGUGUGGUAGAGGACAGUGGAAUUUCCGGGUGUAGCAGUGAAAUGCGUAAGAUCGG